rnacentral:lncRNA from 1 species
GACCUGGCUCCUCCUGAGAGGUGAUGCUUAUCUGUCAGAACUUGGAGGUGCCUUCUGUUCCGACUGCAGCUGGGCUGUAUCUUCUAUCCACAGAUUCACAUCGGCAUUUCACGUCCUUCUUGCUGCAGCCCCAUUUCCAAAGGGAGACCACCCCCACAUCCUUCAAGGCAGGCUAGGGGUCUCCAUAGCACAGCAUUGGACCAUCUGCUUUGCAUGCAGGCCUUCUGUCCUGGGAAUGUCCCCCCCCCCAUCGAAACCCUGGAUAGCUGCUGCCAGUCAGCGCAGGAUAGAAGAAGGAUAUUGAGCAGCUGGAAGGUGAGCAGAGGAGGGCGACCAGGAUGAUGAAGGGUCUGGAAACCAAGCCUGAUGAGGAACAGUUGAGGCAGCUGGGUAUGUUUAGCCUGGAGAAGAGGAGAGAGGAGAGCCAUCUUCCAAUAUCUGAGGGCUGCAAGAGGGAGCAAGCUUGUUUUCUGCUGCUCCAGAGGGGAGGGCAGGAGAGGAGAUUCGGACUAAACAUUAGCAAGAACUUUCUGACGGUAAGACUAUCUGUGAUGGUGGUGGACUCUGCUUCCUUGGAGGCUUUUAAGCAGAGGUUGGAUGCCAAUCUGCAAGGGAUUCAGCUGCAAUUUGGGAAGCGCAUGGCACUGGCCUACUUUACAGGGUUGUUGUAACCACACAAGGCUGUUGAGCAUCUGAAAGUGCCUGGCAAAUGUUGAGCCUUCCAUUUCAUUGUGGGGAACAGCACGUCAGGAGGCGUCCCUCAACUUCCGUUUCUUCUCUCUCCUGCAGCCAAGGGGGCCGGGCUGGAUUACCAAAUAGGCAGAGUAGGCACUGGCCUAUGGGCCCCACACAUUUUAGGGGUCCCGUCACAAUGGAUCAAAAUAAGAUUGAUUUGAUCUUGAAAGAAAACAACAAACAAGCUUUCUUAGUUCAAGGUUAUUCCAGUGUGCGCACGAGGCCUGCCUCCCUGCCCAGAUUUUGGCUGCCAAGGGGCCUCCACAGGGUUUAAUCCAGCACUGCCUCACAAACAGCCCAGUAUAUCUGAAGGAGCGUCACCACCCCCAUCGUUCAGCUCCAUCCCCACCCACUGAGGUCCAGCUCCGAGGGCCUUUUGGCAGUUCCCUCACAGCGAGAAGUGUUCCCUGGUUACAGGGAACCAGACAGAGGGCCUUCUCGGUAGUGGCACCCACCUUGUGGAAUGCCCUCCCAUCAGAUGUCAAGGAAAUAAACAACUGUCUGACUUUUAGAAAACAUCUGAAGCAAUUUCCCCAAAUACUUUCGUAUGCUAUUUUCACUAACCAAUACAACACUAGGCACA